GACGAACGCUGGCUGCGUGCUUAACACAUGCAAGUCGAACGGAAAGGCCUGCUUUCCCUUGUGGCUUGCGGGUCCUCGAGUGGCGAACGGGUGAGUAACACGUGAGUCAUCUGCCCCCCACUUGGUUAUAAGCCUGGGAAACUGGGUCUAAUUCCCGUUAGGACUUCAGGGUGUUGCCUGUGGUGGAAAACGAUUUUCUAGUGGUUGGGGAUGAGCUCGCGGCCUAUCAGCUUGUUGGUGGGGUAAUGGCCUACCAAGGCGGCGACGGGUAGCCGGCCGGAGAGGGUGGACGGCCACAUUGGGACGGGGAUACGGCCCAGACUCCUACGGGAGGAAGCAGGGGGGAAUAUUGCACAAGGGGCGGAAGCCUGAUGCAGCGACGCCGCGGGGGGGAUGACGGCCUUCGGGUUGUAAACUCCUUUCGAGCGCGAGGAAGCCACCUGGUUGGAAGGGUGGUGACGGUAGUGGUAGAAGAAGCACCGGCUAACUACGUG
rnacentral:rRNA from 1 species